rnacentral:misc_RNA from 1 species
GAGGCUGCCUCCAAAUCACCGCAAGACCUGCUGCAGUUCAUCUCCAAAAAAAAAUAACCAUCACCCUGACUCUCUGCCGCACCAUCAUCAGCCCAGAAGAGGAGUUCGUGGUGAAGGCCGCCGUUGCACGUCGGAGUUCCUGUGAAGGUGAGAAAAAAAAACAGCAUGGCGCUCUCUUGAUCCCCUUCCUCUCUUCAUCUUCGUGGCUCCACGGCGCUCGGCAGCAAGCAAAUCUUUAUCAACAUCUCCAUGAUCAAGGCCCCACGCCGGAUUUGCCUUGCAAACCAGACAGGGAAGAGCAUUGUUCUUAUGAACAAGAGCUAUGUCCACCAUCACCUCCAUGAUCAAGGCCUCAUUUGUGGCUUCGCUCCCUCGAGGAAGUCGCUGUGAGAUGUCUCAAGGCCCCACGCCGGACUUGUCAUACAAGCCGGAUAGGGAAGAGUCUUGUUCCCAAGAACGAGAGCUAAGAUCAACAUGCCGGAAAUAUUCCUCGCUGUACUCCACGCCUGUGUUCAAAUCAACAAGGGCACCUGCCGUGAGAUGCACAGGAGGAACUCCAAAUCCUAUGCCAAAUGCUAUGCCCGUGUCAUUCUUAUGUCUAAAUAUAAAUUUGCAUGCUGCUUAUCCAGUCCAUGCAUAUUCGUCGUGGGUUUUGAUAGCUAGUUAGCGUCUUCUGCACAAAGCUAGCAACUGCC